CCUCCCUGUCCACCCCCUACCUUGCUCCCGAGCGAAAGCUCAAAAUCCUCUCCGGAUUGGGCGGUGGCGUCGCCGUUCGCGUCGUGCUCUCCUUGGAGACGCCGCCUGGGGAUGCUGAAGGUUUGGGUGAGUGUUGCCUUGGUGUGGAGGCGUCUGGCAGCUGCUUUGUCCUCUCUACAGUGGCCAGCGAUGUCAUGAUUUGCAGAUCCGGCGCCCCCUUUGAUGGUUUCUCUCCGGUGUGGCUGUUGCCGUGUUGUUGAGUACCCGAAUCUUCUCUGCGGCGUUCGAUUUUGCGCUCGUGAUGCUCGCUGUUGUGGCUUGGCUCAGUGCUGUUUCAUCCUCUUCGAUUGCCCCAUGUGGCUUUCCCUCUUUGCUGAUUGUCCGUGGGCGGCGACCUUGUAGCUGGCGUGGUGUGCUUUUGGCUACGUGCAGGUCAGGAGGCGUGCUCUAGACGAGUGGUCGUGAAGCUGGCUCCUAUCCAAGCUCUCGGGUGAGCAUCUCUCUUGCCGACGAGGGUAGGGGCCCUUUUCGGCAUCUGAGGAGAUAGGAGUUGUCCCUUCUCCGCCCGAUGCUCCAGACACAAUCUUGGUCCUUCUCUUAGCAGACGGCUGAUCCAUUGCAAUCUACUAUGUUCGGGUGUCCUUGGCCCUUAGUGUAGUGGGCAGAGACACUAGCAAGCUGUGCUCUUUUUUCCUAUUUUGUGCUUGUUAGUGAGUGUUGCGUUGUAAGCUGCUCCAUCAGCCCCUUGUAUCCUUUACGUCUUUGUUAGCUCUGUUGGUUCUUUGUAACGCCUGGUCGGUUGAUGGCUUUGUUAAUUCAAAGCCGGGCUCUUCUUGAGCCUUCGUUCCAAAAAAAAUUGUCCAACCUUUUUUUCCCUCUCACUCUUCUCUUGUUUUGUUUUUUGUAUUGGCACCCAUGGUAGCCCAUAGACCAGCCCUUGGCGGUGAGAUCAACUCGGCGGUGCAAUGUAAUGUAAUGUAAUGUAUGUGAGUAUCUGCGAUUGUACAGUGUUAAAAAAAAGAACUAGCAAUCGGUCAUAAUUUAUUCUNNNNNNNNNNNNNNNNNNNNNNNNNNNNNNNNNNNNNNNNNNNNNNNNNNNNNNNNNNNNNNNNNNNNNNNNNNNNNNNNNNNNNNNNNNNNNNNNNNNNNNNNNNNNNNNNNNNNNNNNNNNNNNNNNNNNNNNNNNNNNNNNNNNNNNNNNNNNNNNNNNNNNNNNNNNNNNNNNNNNNNNNNNNNNNNNNNNNNNNNNNNNNNNNNNNUAGCAAAGAUCUCACACAAAUGCAUUAUCUUGUCACAGGUCUAAAGGAACACCGAGCAACACCUUCAAACUAUUAGUUUACAAAUAACAUAUUUGCACUCACCCGAUUUUGAUUUCUCAACUUUCAAUACCAAGCAAAUUCACCUUGCAACUAUUGAAACUAUCUCUAAAGAAAACUUUUGAAACCGGAAAACAUAUUCCUCGGCUGGCUCAAACCUAUUUGAUAGAUUCUCGUUGCAAUGGUUUCACACAUGUGACGAUCUAGCUAACACAAAUAAUAAAAUUAUAUAUAGGAAUCCUAUUUUUAAAUCUAGUGGUUUUAUUUAAAAAAUAGUAGAUUUAUUAUUAAAAUGUUGUAAAAUUUCUAAAAUCAUGAAACACUUAGAAAUAAUUGAAAUGGAACAUGAAUAUUAAUGUAUUAUAUAAAUUUUAGUAAGAAUGGGAUGUUCGCAAUGCAAAAAAAUUAAGAAAUAGAAAGACAAGUUUUCUGUGUAAAGAUCACAAAACUUGCCAUACUAGUGCUGCAUUUUUUUUGGGGAAAAAACACAAAUAAUUUAAGAACUUGUGUUUUAUUUUGAAAAAUCUAGAGUUACAAUAUAAUUCCAUAUUUUAUUAAAAAACUGCAAAUAUAAUUUUUUAAAAAGAAGUAUUUGGGGAAUAAGAUCAUAAACAUUCCCUAAAAACAGAAGUUUAUAUAUAAAAAAUCUAGAGUACAGUAUAAUUUCAUAUUUUAUAAAACCACAAAUAUAAUUUUUAACAAAGAAGUAUUUAGGGAAUAAGACCAUAAACAUUCCCUGAAAACAGAAGUAUUUAGGGAAAAUAUCAUAAACUGAAGUAUUUAGGGGAAAAUAUAAGUAAAAAACGCCUUAUAUUUUGAGAUAGAGGGAGUACUUCUUUGGAAAAUCACAAAUAGUUUAUGAACAAAUAUGUUGAUUAUCUAUGACAGUUCCUAAACUUAUUUUUUAUAUAAAUUCCGGAGUUGCAAUAUAACUUCGUAAUUUCGAACUUAUCCUGUUUCCAUACUUUUUACAUUUACUGCAUGUAUUUAGAUUUUUAUUGCUAAAUUAGAUUCGUUUUUUAGUAGACUGUCACGUGCGUGAAACCAUUGUCAUGUCAUGGAUCAAACCACAUUGGGUCAUGUAAGGAACCAAAUUUAUCCGAGGUCAAGGCCCAAACCAUGCAUAUUGUUUUCUUCAAAGUUGACAACAUUCUAUAUCUUUGCGAGUCAUGUCCUACUUCUACGCCGAAUUUCACUCGCUUUUGCCUACCAGCUUUGUUUGGAUGAAUUACUUUACUAUACUUAUUGUUUGUUGUUAUUUCACUGUAGAUGAUCCUUGACGAGGCAGUUAAAAUUUAGCAUAGUAAAUACGAACAUGAGUUUCAAUCACAAAAUCUCAAAAGAAUCGCGCACAAGCAUCAAAUUAUAUGCUUACUCGAACCAACGAUCUGAUCAUCUGGAAGCGGCCCAUGAGAAAACACGCAAAAAGGUGUAGGCAGAACAGAUGCCACACGGCGCGCAGAAAUAUAGUGAGUAUCCGAUGCUCACCGAGACGAGUGCCGUGUAGAAGGCGACCUGCACGCGGCCGCCGAGGACGUCGACGGCGGCCUCGUGGAUGCCGGGGAGCCGCUUGACGGCCUUCUCAACCGAGCCGGCGCACGCGGCGCACGUCAUCCCGGACACCGCGAACACCGCCACCUUCUCCUCUUCCUCCUCCUCCUCCGCUGCCUCCAGAUCGACAGCGGCUGACCCGCCUUCUCCUCCACCGCCCUCGCCGGCGACCGCGGCGGCCCUCGGUUGCCGCGGCAUGGACGGGUACCGCGGCCGCAGCGUGAGGUGGCCGCUCUCAUCGGAGCCGCUGCUGUGGAAGCAUGUGAGGAAGAGGGACCGAGUGGCCGCCGCCAUUGGGAGCGUGAAGAGAAGGUUUUAGGUUGGGUUGGGGGUUCUGAUCGGGGGUGGGAAAAAUGGUUCGAACAUUUGCAGAUUUUAUAGUCGUACCUGCCCGACGCGCCGGAACGGAAAAUACUGCACGUAGCCACGUACGCCGUUCGGUUACUCAACUCACCAUUUUGUAAUGGGUGGGCUUGGGCCGCAAGCAAGUGAGGGAUUGGACGGCUAGUUUCUUAAGCGGGCCGCGACGACCUCGGACUGUCGAAGACGUCAGACACUCGACACGCAGCCCAGGGGGUCCUCUGGGGAGAAGUCGAAUUUUCUUUCCUUCUUUUUCUUAAUGACGCUCGGCAAGAAACCCACGCUUAAAUCCAAACACGGCAUUCAAACUUUGACAUUCGUGCUCACAUUUCGAAGUACUACACGUAUUCAGUCGGUUUUGUUUUAAAAAGAGCGCAAGUUGCAUGAUUGUAGGCAGCACGCCACACAAAAGAUCCAAUUCGAAUUUGACUUGGAGUUGCUUAUGAUAGCAGGACGCUCCCACGCAUGUCGCCUCAGGGGUCAGAGCUAAGCAAAUGUGAUGUGAUGUCGAAUUCGAAUUAAAUUAUCGGAAGACCCCCGGUGCCCACGAAUCAAAUUCGAGCCCCGGUUCCGAUUUGCCUUUGAAUUUGGUCCCCCGUUUCAAAAGCAACGAAUGCCAGAAAUCAUGAUGCCACGACAGGUGACCUUGGUAAAAUUAACCAGCCGUUCUUUUCACAUCUUCCUGGUGUACGUCUACGUGCGUGGAGUGUAGACCAAUCUCCCUGGUAGCAGGAGCCAAUCAUGGAACCUCUCAUGCAUUUCUUUGAAGAAAUGCAUGCAAUAACGCAGAGACAUAAAACGCCCGGAGGACGGAGGACGGUCUUGGUUCACUGAAUGAUUCAUCAGACGGUUUGGUUCACUGAAUCUUUGAUUCCUGGACACUUGCUUCUUCUUCUGUUAUUAUAAAGAGCCUGAGGUUGCCAUUUCGUUAAACUACCCCAUGCAUGGUCGCGAUGACGUUUUUUAUGGAAGGGAGCUACCCCAAUCAGAUGAAUUCAGAAUUCAGAAAAUGUAAGCAAGCUGAGAAUGUCAUGCGUACGUGGACGCUUUUCGUUGUCUUCGCCCGAUAGAAGUCACCGCAGUGUAUUAGUAGUGUUGAGAGAAUUAUAUGGUUGAUGGAUGUUUGAAGUUGAAUCCGUUGCAGAGAGAGCAAAAAAUAUUUGAAUCGCUUGGAAUGACGUGCACACGUAGCCUAAACCAAAUAUAUAUCGGGGAAGUCAAAUUCCGAUAGGAGAUUGAUGACCAAUACGACAGGGAUUGCGUGGUAAAUAAUCAAGUGUUCCUUGUUUUGACACCAUCCCAGCAUCGUCGGACGAAGAUAACUUAGCUGGCAAUCAAAUGAAUUGACUAAUGUGUCGCAACUGAUUGAUUUGUAUAGGCUGGUUAUAGGUUCGUUACGGGUAGGUUGAUUCUUUGGUGUAGCAAGUAGCAACUAGUGGCAUCAAAUUCUGGUUUCACACGGAGCGUAGCUGCGAGCUCGAGCGUAGCCACCACCCUCGACUCCACGCUGCGCCACUCCGGCCGCUGCGGCCACCGCCCCACCUCUGUCGCUGCCCGCGGGGCAGCGGCGCCACCACCCCGUGUUGGUGCAAAAACCCUAACCCUAGCUAGCCCUAGCUCUCUCUCUCUCUGUGGCACGAACCGGGAAGGAAUGAGGAAGACACGAUGAACAGGAAGCUUUUCCAGCGCACGAACGCCCGUCGCAACCACGACGUUUCCUUGAGCACGAACUUAACACCUCCGCCGUUAUAACGAUCGAUGCCGCGAUCUUAUACCCGGGCCAGCGCUGGGCCACGGCCCCCACGCCUCUACCCACUACUGCGCCUGGUUCGGCACGCUCCGUGCGCGCCCACGACCGCGCCUCCACGCACUCGCCGCGCCGAGCCCGCAACGAACCAACGCGAUCACCACGUCCCGAUUGCCAAUGGCUUCGCCCCACACACACACACCCGGUGUACAGAUGCACGAACACGCCCGCGCACCACAUGCACACCUACGCCGCAAACCCGACGCGCCCGACACGCCUAGCGUUCGCCCAUGCACGCGCUCGACGCGUCCGACUCGUCGCCACAGCUUAUUAUGCCCAACACACACCCCUUAAGCCAUGGCUCAGAGGAGGCCAUCUUGCUACCUCUUGAGCAUUGCGUUGGUUUUUCCUAGUGCAUUUUGAGGAAGCCCAUCAUUGGAAUAUACAAGUCAAGUUCUAUAAUGAAAAAUUUCCACUAGUAUAUGAAAGUGACUAAAUCAGGAGACUCUCUAUCAUGAAGUUCAUGGUGCUACUUUGAAGCACAAGUGUGGAAAAAAGAUAGUAACAUUGUCCCUUCUCUCUUUUUCUCUCUUUUUUUCUUUUUUUUCUUUGGGCCUUUUCUUUUUUUUUCUUGGCCUCUUCUCCUUUUUUUUAUUAGUCCGGAAUCUCAUCCCGACUUGUGGGGGAAUCAUAGUCUCCAUCAUCCUUUUCUCACAUGGGACAAUGCUCUAAUAAUGAUGAUCAUCACACUUUUAUUAUUUACAACUCAAUACUUAGAACAAAAUAUGACUCUAUGUGAAUGCCUCUGGCGGUGUACCGGGAUAUGCGAUGAAUCAAGAGUGACAUGUAUGAAAAAAUAUGAAUGGUGGCCUUGCCACAAAAUACGAUGUCAACUACACGAUCAUGCAAAGCAAUAUGACAAUGAUGAAGCGUGUCAUAAUAAACGGAACGGUGGAAAGUUGCAUGGCAAUAUAUCUCGGAAUGGCUAUGGAAAUGCCAUGAUAGGUAGGUAUGGUGGCAGUUUUGAGAAAGAUAUAAGGAGGCUUAUGUGUGAUAGAGCGUAUCAUAUCACGGGGUUUGGAUGCACCGGCGAAGUUUGCACCAACUCUUAAGGUGAGAAAGGGCAAUGCGCGGUACCGUAGAGGCUAGAAAAUUGUGGAAGGUUGAGAGUGCGUAUAAUCCAUGGACUCACAUUAGUCAUAAAUAACUCAUAUACUUAUUGCAAAAGUUUAUUAGCCCUCGAAGCAAAGUACUACUACGCAUGCCCCUAGAGCGAUAGAUUGGUAGGAAAAGACCAUCGCUCGUCCCCGACCGCCACUCAUAAGGAAAGCAAUAAAAGAACACCUAUGUGUCAAAAUUGUUACACAACUUUUACCAUACGUGCAUGCUACGGGACUUGCCAACUUUAACACAAGUAUCUCUCAAUUUCACAAUUACUCAACUAGCACACUCUAAUAUUACCACCUUUAUAUCUCAAAACACUUAUCAAGUAUCUAACUUCUCAUGAUAUUUAAUGAACUUAAUAUGGAAGAUUAAUUUCAUAAUUAAAGCAAAUUACCAUGCUGUUUAAGACUCUCAAAAUAAUAUAAGUGAAGCAUGAGAGAUCAAUAAUUUCUAUAAAAUACGACCACCGCCGUGCUCUAAAAGAUAUAAAUGAAGCACUAGAGCAAAAACUAUAUAGCUUAAAAGAUAUAAGUGAAGCACAUAGAGUAUUCUAACAAAUUCCGAAUAAUGUGUGUCUCUCUCAAAAGGUGUGUACAGCAAGGAUGAUUGUGGCAAACUAACAAACAAAGACUCAAAUCAUACAAGAUGCUCCAAGCAAAACACACAUCAUGUGAUGAAUAAAAAUAUAGCUCCAAGUAAAGUUACCGAUGGGUGAGGACGAAAGAGGGGAUGCCUUCCGGGGCAUCCCCAAGCUUUGGCUUUUUGGUGUCCAUGGAUUUACCUUGGGGUGCCUUGGGCAUCCCCAAGCUUAGGCUCUUGCCACUCCUUGUUCCAUAAUCCAUCAAAUCUUUUACCCAAAACUUAAAAACUUCACAACACAAAACUUAACAGAAAAUCUCGUGAGCUCCGUUAGCGAAAGAAAACAAAACACCACUUCAAGGUACUGUAUUGAACUCAUUCUUUAUUUAUAUUGGUGUUAAACCUAAUUUAUUCCAACUUCUCUAUGGUUUAUAAACUAUUUUACUAGCCAUAGAUUCAUCAAAAUAAGCAAACAACAUACAAAAAACAGAAUCUGUCAAAAACAGAACAGUCUGUAGUAAUCUGUAACUAACGCAAACUUCUGGAACUCCAAAAAUUCUACCAAAAUAGGAUGACCUAGAUAAUUUGUUUAUUGAUCUGCUGCAAUUGUAAUCAGUAUUUUAUCACGUUCUGGUGAUUUUUAACAAUUGUUUUCGUGAACAGAAAGUUUCUGGAUUUUCAGCAAGAUCAAAUAACUAUCAUCCAAGAAGAUCCUAUAGGUUUAACUUGGCACAAACACUAAUUAAAACACAAAAACAAAUCUAACCAGAGGCUAGAUUAAAGAUUUAAUCCUAAACAGAACCAAAAAGCAAAAAACUAAAAAUAAAAUUGGGUUGCCUCCCAACAAGCGCUAUCGUUUAACGCCCCUAGCUAGGCAUAAAAGCGAGGAUAGAUCUAGGUAUUGCCAUCUUUGAUAGGCAAUCUAUAAGUGGCUCUCAUAAUAGAUUCAUAUGGUAAUUUAAUUUUCUUUCUAGGGAAGUGUUCCAUGCCUUUCCUUAACAGAAAUUGGAAUCUAAUAUUCUCUUCCUUCAUAUCAAUAAUUGCACCGAUCGUUCUAAGGAAAGGUCUACCAAGAAUAAUAGGACAUAAAGGAUUGCAAUCUAUAUCAAGAACAAUGAAGUCUAUGGGCACAUAAUUCCUAUUUGCAACAAUAAGAACAUCAUUAAUUCUUCCCAUAGGUUUCUUGAUAGUGGAAUCCGCGAGAUGCAAGUCUAAAGAGCAAUCAUCAAAUUCAUGGAAACCUAACAAAUCACACAAAGUUUUUGGAAUCGUGGAAACACUAGCACCCAAAUCACACAAAGCAUAGCAUUCAUGAUCUUUAAUUUUAAUUUUAAUUGUAGGUUCCCAUUCAUCAUAAAGUUUUCUAGGGAUAGAAACUUCCAACUCAAGUUUUUCUUCAUAAGAUUGCAUUAAAGCAUCAACGAUAUGUUUAGUAAAAGCUUUAUUUUGACUAUAAGCAUGAGAUGAAUUUAGCACGGAUUGCAACAAGGAAAUACAAUCUAUCAAAGAGCAAUUGUCAUAAUUAAAUUCCUUGAAAUCCAAGAUAGUGGGUUCAUUGCUAUCUAAAGUUUUAACCUCUUCAAUUCCACUUUUACCAAUUUUUGCAUCAAGAUCUAAAAACUCCGAAUUUUUGGGACGCCUUCUAACUAAAGUUGACUCAUCUCCAGUCCCAUCAUUAUCAAGAUUCAUAUUGCAAAACAAAGAUUUAAUAGGGGACACAUCAAUAACUUUUAAAUCUUCAUCUUUAUUAUCAUGAAAAUUUUCCGGUUUAGCGGCCAUCUUAUUAACUAAGGUGGCCUGCUUAUCUGAGAUUUCAGCUAUUAGUUUUUCGAGAUGAGCAAUCUGAGAUUUCAAACCAUAAAAUUCCUUAGACAUAUCAUCGAGCUCUUUAUUCAUAUAUCCCAUAAAAGCUUUUUUGUUCCUUAAGCUCGUUUCUAAAGAAAUUAUUAUGCUCAAAUUGUAAAGUCAUAAAACUUCUGACGUUGCUUUCAAUCUCUUCUAACCUUUUAAGGUGAAGAUCACCAAAUCUAGGUAGAGCCAUCGUGACAAGCAAGCAAUCCAACACACGAGCAAACAAGAAGCAAGCGAAAAAGAGGCGAAGGGAAAAGGAGGGCGAAUAAAACGACAAGGGUGAAGUGGGGAGAGAAAAACUAGAGGCAAAUGGCAAAUAAUGUAAUGCGAAGGAUAAGAGUUUGUGAUGGGUACUUGGUAUGUCUUCACUUGUCUUGGCGCACACCUCCCCGGCAAUGGCGCCAGAAAUCCUUCUUGCUACCUCUUGAGCACUGCGUUGGUAUUCCCUUGAAGAGGAAAGGGUGAUGCAGUAAAGUAGCGUAAGUAUUUCCCUCAGUUUUUUAGAACCAAGGUAUCAAUCCAGUAGGAGGUCACGCCCAAGUCCCUUGCACCUACACAAACAAAUAAGAACCUCGCAACCAACGCGAUAAAGGGGUUGUCAAUCCCUUCACGGUCACUUACGAGAGUGAGAUCUGAUAGAGAUGAUAAGAUAAUAUUUUUGGUAUUUUUAUGAUAAGGAGUAAAAGUAAAGAAAGCAAGUAAACAGUAAUGGAAAUAACGGGAGAUUAAUAUGAUGGAAAAUAGACCCGGGGGCCAUAGGUUUCACUAGUGGCUUCUCUCAAGAUAGCAUAAGUAUUACGGUGGGUGAACAAAUUACUAUCAAGCAAUUGAUAGAAUUGAGCAUAGUUAUGAGAAUAUCUAUGUAUGAUCAUGUAUAUAGGCAUCACGUCCGUGACAAGUAGACCGAAACGAUUCUGCAUCUACUACUAUUACUCCACACAUCGACCGCUAUCCAGAAUGCAUCUAGAGUAUUAAGUUCAUAAGAACAGAGUAACGCUUUAAGCAAGAUGACAUGAUGUAGAGGGAUAAAUUCAUGCAAUAUGAUAUAAACCCCAUCAUUUUAUCCUCGAUGGCAACAAUACAAUAUGUGCCUUGCUGCCCCUGCUGUCACUGGGAAAGGACACCGCAAGAUUGAACCCAAAACUAAGCACUUCUUCCAUUGCAAGAAAGAUCAAUCUAGUAGGCCAAACCAAACUGAUAAUUCGAAGAGACUUGCAAAGAUAACCAAUUAUACAUAAAAGAAUUCAGAGAAGAUUCAAAUAUUGUUCAUAGAUAAUCUUGAUCAUAAACCCAUAAUUCAUCGGAUCUCGACAAACACACCGCAAAAGAAGAUUACAUCGAAUAGAUCUCCAAGAGAGUCGAGGAGAACUUUGUAUUGAGAUCCAAAGAGAGAGAAGAAGCCAUCUAGCUAAUAACUAUGGACCCGAAGGUCUGAGGUAAACUACUCACACAUUAUCGGAGAGGCUAUGGUGUUGAUGUAGAAGCCCUCCGUGAUCAAUGCCCCCUCCGGCAGGACGCCGGAAAAGGCCCCAAGAUGGAUCUCACGGGUACAGAAGGUUGCGGCGGUGGAAUUAGGUUUUCGUGGUCGCUUCUGAUGGUUUGGGGGUACGUAGGUAUAUAUAGGAGGAAGAAGUAGGUCGGUGGAGCCACGAGGGGCCCACGAGGAUGGAGGGCGCGCCUGGGGGGGUAGGCGCGCCUGGGGGGUAGGCGCGCCCCCCUACCUCGUGGCUUCCUCGUCUGUUGCUUGACGUCCACUCCAAGUCCUCUGGAUCACGUUUGUUCCAAAAAUCACGUUCCCGAAGGUUUCAUUCCGUUUGGACUCCGUUUGAUAUCCUUUUUCUGCGAAACACUGAAAUAGGCAAAAAAAUAACAAUUUGGGCUAGGCCUCCGGUUAAUAGGUUAGUCCCAAAAAUAAUAUAGAACUGUAUAAAUAAGCCCAUUAAACAUCCAAAACAGAAUAUAUAAUAGCAUGGAACAAUCAAAAAUUAUAGAUACGUUGGAGACGUAUCACAUCGUCCUCGACACCGGCGUCCACCAGCAGCGCGCGCUCCGCCGCCGGCUCCUUACGCAGAUGGGGGCACUCCCUCUUCAAGUGACCGCGCUCGCCGCACUUGUAGCAUCGCCCCGCGCCGCUUGUUCCGCCACCCGAUGCCGUGCUCGCCGCGCCGUCGUCGUCGUUGAAGCUGCCGCCACCCUGACGUCGUUGCCGCGCCUGCCGCUGUGCCGCCGUGUACAUCGGCUGGUCGUCCGCCCGCUCGCCGCUCGCUUGUCCAUGCAGUUGCAGCCUCUCCUCGAACGCCUUUAGCCACCCGAGAGCUUCCUCGAACGGCAUGGAGUUCAUGUCGCAGAACUGCUCCAUUCCGGUGACGGCGGCGUACAAGCGACCCGGGCCCGAGUCCAAGAGCUUCUUCACCAUCGUCGGAUCGUCCAGCAUCGACCCCAGCCCAGCAUAGUGAGCCGCCAUGCCGCUGAUCUUGCCAGCGAAGGCGCCAUCGUCUCGCCGCUCUGCAUCCGCAGCAGCUCGAAGUCACUACGCAGCGUGGCCAGCCGCGCCGCCCUCACGCGAUCGACUUCGACGAACCGCGCCUUGAGGCUGCUCCAGACCUCCGCCGCCGUCUUCAUGGAUGCGACCUGCACCAAGAGAUCCUCAGCGGGCGCGCCAAGCAGGUACGCCCACGCCGACUUGUCCUUCUUGGCGAUCACCGCCGCUGCCGCGUCCUCCACCGGCACCAUCGCUUCCCACAGCCCGGCCGCGUCCAGGUUGGCAUUCACCUUGAUCGCCCAUGUGGUGUAGUUAUCACUAGUGAGCAUCGGGACGGGCGUCGGUAGCGAGCUCCCCGACCUGCCGGCGUACGGCACGAUCGACAUCGUCGGUGAUCGCCUCCCGCAACCUGGCUCUGAUGCCAAUUGUUGGUGCAAAAACUCUAACCCUAGCAAGCCCUAGCUCCUCUAUAGCUCUCUCUCUCUCUCUCUCUCUCUCUCUAUCUAUCUAUCUAUCUCUAUCUCUCUCUCUCUGUGUGGCACGAACCGGGGAGGAAGAAGGAGGAAGACACGAUGAACAGGGAGCUUUUCCAGCACACGCAUGCCCGCCGCAACCACGGCGUUUCCUUGAGCACGAACUCAACACCUUCGUCGUUACAACGAUCGACGCCGCGAUCUUAUACCCGGGCCAGCGCUGGGCCACGACCCCCAUGCCUCUACCCACUACUUCGCCUGGUUCGGCCCGCUCUUCGCGCGCCCACGACCGCGCCUCCACGCACUCGCCGCGCCGAGCCCGCAACAAACCAACGCGAUCACCGCGUCCCGAUCGCCAACGGCUUCGCCCCACACACACGCGCGCGGUGUACACAUGCACAGACAUGCCCGCGCACCACACGUACGCACACACGCACACCUACGCCGCGGACCCGACACGCCCGACAUGCCUAGCGCGCGCCCAUACACGCGCUCGACGCGUCCGACUCGUCACCACGGCUUAUUAUGCCCAACACCCCGCACCCCAUGGCCCAUGUCGAGUCCCGCAGAUCCACCAGGUCCCUGCGCUCCCACUCGUGCGAUGCCUCUCGAUGGGGCACACCGUCCUCGAGCCCAGAUUCGCUUUCUUUCAGUGGUCCUUCUCUAGUGCCAGACUUGUAGCUGCAUCGACCAGCGUCAAUGACUUAUCUAGGCAAUCCGCCGCGUAUCCUGCUGCGGGGUGAGUGCUCCCACGCAACACCACCACUCCCCCGGCGGUACAAGCAGCGGCUCCACUCUUCGGGCAACAUAGACUAAAAUCCAUCAUAGUUAGGCCCUUCCCCGCGCCCUACCCCCUUCCACCUUGCGAUGAGGACGGAUGGACGACGGUCGAGUCCCGGAAGGCGCGCAAUGUAGGAAAGAAGGCAACGGUCCGUAACACAUGCCAGCGGCUGCGCCGGUCGGCCAAGGGUGCUGCCAUUAAUGGCCAUGACGAGCGCGCGGCCUUCUUAAGCCGCUUCGACGGCAUCUGCUUCCGCUGCCGCAGCACCGAGCACCGCCGGAUAAAUUGCAGAGACCCACUUAGAUGCAUCAUUUGCAAGCUGCCAGGACACUAUGGUAGAGAGUGAUGACCCAUAAGUAUAGGGGAUCUAUCGUAGUCCUUUCGAUAAGUAAGAGUGUCGAACCCAACGAGGAGCAGAAGGAAAUGACAAGUGGUUUUCAACAAGAUAUUCUCUGCAAGCACUGAAAUUAUCGGUAACAGAUAGAUUUGUGAUAAGGUAAAUCAUAACGGGUAACAAGUAAAUGAAGUAACUAAAGUGCAGCAAGGUGGCCCAAUCCUUUUUGUAGCAAAGGACAAGCCUCGACAAACUCUUAUAUAAAGCAAAGCGCUCCCGAGGACACAUGAGAAUUGUUGUCAAGCUAGUUUUCAUCAUGCUCCUAUGAUUCACGUUCGUUACUUUGAUAAUUUGAUAUGUGGAUGGACCGGUGCUUGUGCGUUGCCCUUCCUUGGACAAGCCUCCCACUUAUGAUUAACCCCUCUCGCAAGCAUCCACAACUAUGAAAGAAGAAUGAAGGUAAAACUAACCAUAGCAUGAAACAUAUGGAUCCAAAUCAGCUCCUUACGAAGCAACGCAUAAACUAGGGUUUAAGCUUCUGUCACUUGCAACCCAUCAUCUACUUAUUACUUUCCAAUGCCUUCUCCUAGGCCCAAAUAAUGGUGAAGUGUCAUGUAGUCGACGUUCACAUAACACCACUAGAGGAGAGACAACAUACAUCUCAUCGAAAUAUCGAACGAAUACCAAAUUCACAUGAUUACUUAUAACAGGACUUCUCCCAUGUCCUCACAAAGCAUAUUCAUAAUCAUAAUCAGAGUAUUAAUUAUUAUUAAGGAUAUGAAAUUAUAAUCUUCCACCGGAUAAACCAACUAGCAUCAACUAUAAGGAGUAAUCAACACUACUAGCAACCCCCAGGUACCAAUCUGAGGUUUUGGGACCAAGAUCGAAUACAAGAGAUGAACUAGGGUUUGAGAGGAGAUGGUGCCGGUGAAGAUGUUGAUGGAGAUUGACCCCCUCUCGAUGAGAGGAUCGUUGGUGAUGACAAUGGCGAUGAUUUCCCCCUCCUGGAGGCACAUCAAUUGUUUCUUAAGCCUGUGCGGUGCCCCCCUCCACCGUUUACUCCUUCGAUCAUAUUGUCGUAGUGCUUAGGCGAAGCCCUGCGCAGAUCACAUCACCAUCACCGUCACCACGCCGUCGUGCUGACGAAACUCUCCCUCGACACUUUGCUGGAUCAAGAGUUCGAGGGACGUCAUCGAGAUGAACGUGUGCAGAACUCGGAGGUGUCGUACGUUCGGUGCUUGAUCGGUUUAAUCGAGAAGACGUUCGACUACAUCAACCGCGUUAAGCUAACGCUUCCGCUUUCGGUCUACGAGGGUACGUGGACACACUCUUCCCCUCUCGUUGGUAUGCAUCUCCUAGAUAGAUCUUGCGUGAUCAUAGGAAUUUUUUUAAAAUUGCAUGCUACGUUCCCCAACAACUAGAAUCACCUUCAGUAGGGUUCUGGUACACAUGAACAACGCGUGCGCUCACAAGAUUGUGUGCGACUUAUGACUUUACUUUGCACAACUUGUAUGGUUGUGGCAAAUAUAAAAUCUAUUGAAGUUCUUCCCCGCGUGAUUUGAGCAGUAAUAGUUUGUGCUUGUAUAUAGCUAUUAACUACUCCCUCCGGUCCAUACUAAAGCAGCGACAAUUAAUAUGGAUCGGAUCGGAGGGACCAUCUUUUCCAAUGUCCAGAAUUGUAGUAUAACUUAUUUAAAGUUGAACAUUAAUGGUUUUCUUUUGUUUUGUAAGCAUCUUUUGUCAAACAUGACUACCCAUUUAAUAAUAAUAAUAAUAAUAAUAAUAAUUGUAAUAAUAUGAUUGUGUGCAUCGUAUACAGAGAUGUUGGUAGUUUUAUCCGCCUUUCCUAUGAAAGGAUGUUUGAAAAUUGUUUUCAUGCUCAGUGGCAAAAUGAUAGUACGGAAUAAUCAAACACAAUAUAAAAUAUCAAUCCUGGUACAUCAUACAAAAUUUCAUUAGAAAACUCAUACUAUAAUCUAAUACGAUAGACUACAAUUCCUUAGGAGCAUAUGUCCAUCAUCGUCUCGUCUUGGGAUGGUUGCAAUUCAAAGAUGUGAGGCGAGAGCAGAGUGGGACGGUAACCCCGAUGGAUGAUCCAUAUCCAUUCAUAUGACGGUAUCUGUUGGAGCUGCUUGUCCCACUGCAACAGUCGACCGUGGUCAGGAACGGACGACCUCGUGUCAUACUUGUACAGGGUGUCGUUGCACGUGUAGAAGAGCGUCUCAUGUUGAAACCAUGCACUCCAUGGCAUGCGGAUCCAUGGUCUUUGGAUGGGGAUGGGAGGUUCUACUUGCACGAGGAAGCUGUAGGAGUAAAUUGCACAAAACCACCACUUUGAAGGCUUGGUUUGCAUAAAACACUACGUUACAUUCUUUUGGCAGAAAACACCACCUCUACGGUAAUCUUUUUGCAAAAACACUGAUCGGUGGAUUGGAGUGUUUUAAGUAUGUUUAUAACAGGUGGGUCCAGAUUUUGUCGACGUGGCGUAAUGGCUCUGCCAAAACGGCGUCAAACCGGACAUGGCCCCACCUGUCAGCUGGAUCUUCUUCUCCAAUUCUCCUCUGUUUCUCUCACUGAAAAAGGCAACUCCCUGUCUCGAUCCCCUUUCCCAUGGUGGAACCCAGGCGUGCAGCCACCCAAGCCGAUCCCGACCGCCGUCACACAGCCAGACUGCGUGGCCGACGAGCCCAGUGGCCCCUCCAGUUUCUCUCCCCUCCCUCUACUCCUACCGGUCGCCUGGAUUGACCUUGUGUCGCAGUCGCGCAACGAACAAGCGGCAUGGACGCCGCCGAGCUUCUCUGCCCUCCCUCUACGCAACGAACGAGUGCCAUGGACGCCGUCGCUUCGCCGGCGAGCCCAGACUGCCCUCUGACUGCUCUCCCCUCCCUCUAAUCGUCCUGCUCACCCGGAUGGGCCCAGAGUCGCAGCCGCCUGAAACGAGCGCCAAGGAAGUCGCCGCCUCGCCAGAGCGGCUACGCCGCCCGCGACGACCAUCUCUGCCCACAAAAAAGAGCUCGUCGCCGUCCAUGCUGCCCUCGACCUGGGACGCCGUCACCUCGCCGGCUUGGCCACACCACCCGCGACGACCGACGACCAUCUCUGUCCGUGAAGAAGAGCUCCACGGCUGCGGCGGCCACGCCGCCCACGACGACCAACUCUGCCCUCCGAGCAGAGCUCUUCGUUUAGGCCUCGUCGCCGGCGCGGCCACGCCGCCCGCAAAGAAGAGCUCGUUCAUGGAGCUGAUUGCUUUUCUGAUUUUGAUGUAAGGGCCUCCUUGUAAAAUCCCUCAUCUAACGCUGUUUUGGCAGAGCCGUUACGCCACGUCGGCAAAAUCUGGACCCACUUAUCAUAAACGUACUUAAAACGUUCUAAUCCGCCGAUCAGUGGUUUUUGCAAAAAGAUUACCGUAGAGGUGAUGUUUUCUGCCAAAAAAAUGUAGCGUAGUGUUUUCUGCAAACUUAGUCUUCAAAGUGAUGGUUUUGUGCAAUUUACUCAAGCUUAGCGCAACUCCCAGUGUGGCUCCUUCUCGCCGUCCGAUUCCUUGUUCUCCAUGGCCAUGACCCAGAAGUGGAGGGCCUUGGGGCGAUUGCAGCUGUUGAGCACGUGUGCGGCGAGGCACAGCCGCCCCUUCAGCUCAAAGGCCAGCAGAUUAUCAUAUCGAUAGGUCCCGAGACCGUCCGGGAGAGGGUAGGCGCGGCACGUCUCGGCAGGCACGUCCACUACCAGCACUCCGGCAGCCUCCUGCCAUAUGGGUGCAUUCCAGCCUUUAGUGACCACGUGAAGUUUACCAUCGAUCAGCACUGGCGUCGAAGUGUCAUUUCCUCUGGUUAGUGGGCGAGAGGGUGAGAGGAACGGGUCUCUGCGCCACCCGCGGGCGUCACCCAAGGUGUAGACGUCCACGUCCACCCGCUCUUCGGAGGAGUAGGAGCAUAGCGGGAAAGAGAGGCGGAAGAGCUUGUACUCGUUGGUGGGCGGACUGAACCCAAAGGCAAAUAAAUACGCAUGGUCCUUGUUGCUGAGCGGAGGGGCCGCCGGAAGCGCCAGCGUCUCGCCAGUGGCGGGGUUGCACACCACCGCCGGCGCCUCGACGGCGCGGUCCUCAAGCACGAAGCAGAGGAGGCCGUUGCAGAUGUCGGCGAGGCCGUAGCCUUCGGGCUUGGCGAUGCAGCACAUGGGUUUGUCCGACGAUAACCUGAAGACACUGGUCUUGACGCUCUGGCCGAGCCCGCAUGGCACACCGGAUAAGCGCAAGAACUCGGGCUCUGCCGAAAGCGCGGCAGGGCUGGCCGCGUGGAGCUUGCGGAAUGUGGGGUCUCCGAGGGCGCUGCGCCAGUGCCUGGAGACGCAGCAGGAGCGGGCCACGUCCUUGGUCGGCAGCUUCAUCAGGAUUUCUUGUAGCAUCUCGUUAGGGAUUUCCUCAGCCUCACUGCGACGACGACGUCCCAUUGUGCCAUAGACAUCGACGUCCCAAGGCAAAGAGAUGCGCAUCCUACUCGAUCUGCCGGCAACUCGCUCGAAAUCGACCGAUUGUGGGUUGGGACCGUCGACUUGGUAUUUAUAGAGGGCACCACCCAACGAGUUGCCGAGUUUGAGUCGAAGCAGGUCAUUGUGUUUGUAUUAGGAUCCAUCCAUAUACCCGAGCCUAAACAUGCACGACUCCGUCACUGCCUGCGCGAGCUCCGUCGUCAAAAAUGCAUGCAACCGAUUGGGUGCUCCGUUCAGGAAGCACAGACCAAGCUUCCUUUCCUUACUAACCACGAAACGGAAACGAUGAAUGAAUCGCCAAAAAUGCUACACCUACCUAACUCUUUUACGUACGCUACGGAAUCUUCGAUCGCCAGAUGUAGCAUUGCUCAUGAAUCGCCAGAUCGUCAUCCGUUCCUCUCCUCUCUGCUGCCCCUCUCUCCGGACGUCCAGUCAUAAUACAAAUAUUUUCUUCUUCUUCUUUUGAGCAUCACGUACGCACGCAAAGAAAUACUGCUAGCUGCUAGCUAGUGCAAGUACGCACGACUUUUUCUUCUUCUUUUGAGCAUCACGUACACUGCUAGCCAGCCUGCUUCAGACGCACAUGCAAUGCAUGCAUGCGUGGGUGACUACCAAUUGGCUACACACGCAAGUACGUACCUGCGUGCAUGCGGCGAUGCACGUAAACUUACGUGAGGUUUUUACGUAAAGGUUAAUGUGGAGGUAGUUAAUUGGAUGAAGAUUAAUGACUGGGGCUCACCCCACUUGAAAUCAGAGGGGGAGAGGAUUAUAGUUAGAAAGAUUACAUUACUUUACGUAGGCUGUUCGUAGAUGGAGCAUUAUCGGCGUGCAUGCACUCCAUUUUGUUAGCUACAUCUAACAUGCAUGCUUGCCCAAGUGAUCAAUGGUCUCUCUCUCUGUGGCACGAACCGGGGAGGAAGAAGGAGGAAGACACGAUGAACAGGGAGCUUUUCCAGCGCACGAACGCCCGCCACAACCACGGCGUUUCCUUGAGCACGAACUCAACACCUUCGCCAUUACAACGAUCGAUGCCGCGAUCUGGGCCAUGACCCCCACGCCUCUACCCACUGCUGCGCCUGGUUCGGCCCGCUCCGCGCGCGCACUCACCGCGCCGAGCCCGCAACGAACCAACGCGAUCACCGCGUCCCGAUCGCCAACGGCUUCGCCCCACACACACGCGCGCGGUGUACACAUGCACGGACACGUCCGCGCACCACACGUACGCACACACGCACACCUACGCCGCGGACCCGACCUGCCCGACACGCCUAGCGUGCGCCCAUACACGCGCUCGACACGUCCGACUCGUCGCCACGGCUUAUUAUGCCCAACACCCCGCACCCCAUGGGCCAUGUCGAGUCCCACAGAUCCACCAGGUCCCCGCGCUCCCACUCGUGCGACGCCUCUCGAUGGGGCACGCCGUCCUCGAGCCCAGAUCCGCUUUCUUUCAGCGGUCCUUCUCUGGUGCCGGACUUGCAGCUGCAUCGACCGGCGUCAACGACUUAUCUAGGCAAUCCGCAGUGUAUCCUGCUGCGGGGUGAGUGCUCCCACGCAACACCACCACUCCCCCAGCGGCACAAGCAGCGGCUCCACUCUUCGGGCAACAUAGACUAAAAUCCAUCGUAGUUAGGCCCUUCCCCGCGCCCUACCCCCUUCCUCCUUGUGAUGAGGACGGAUGGACGGCGGUCGAGUCCCGGAAGGCGCGCAAUGUAGAAAAGAAGAUAACGGUCCGUAACACAUGCCAGCGGCCGCGCCGGUCGGCCAAGGGCGCUGCCAUUAAUGGCCAUGACGAGCGCGCGGCCUUCUUAAGCCGCUUCGACGGCAUCUGCUUUCGCUGCCUGCACCGAGCACCGCCGGAUAGAUUGCAGAGACCCACUUAGAUGCAUCAUUUGCAAGCUGCCAGGACACUAUGGUAGAGAGUAAUGACCCACAAGUAUAGGGGAUCUAUCAUAGUCCUUUCGAUAAGUAAGAGUGUCGAACCCAACGAGGAGCAGAAGGAAAUGAUAAGUGGUUUUCAGCAAGGUAUUCUCUGCAAACACUGAAAUUAUCGGUAACCGAUAGUUUUGUCAUAAGAUAUUUCGUAACGGGUAACAAGUAAAUGAUGUAACUAAAGUGCAGCAAGGUGGCCCAAUCCUUUUUGUAGCAAAGGACAAGAUUGGACAAACUCUUAUAUAAUGCAAAGCACUCCCGAGGACACAUGUGAAUUGUUGUCAAGCUAGUUUUCAUCAUGCUCAUAUGAUUCACGUUCGUUACUUUGAUAAUUUGAUAUGUGGGUGGGCUGGUGCUUGGGCGUUGCCCUUCCUUGGACAAGCCUCCCACUUAUGAUUAACCCUUCUCGCAAGCAUCCGCAACUACGAAAGAAGAAUUAAGGUAAACCUAGCCAUAGCAUGAAACAUAUCGAUCCAAAUCAGCCCCUUACGAAGCAACGCAUAAACUAGGGUUUAAACUUCUGUCACUCUAGCAACCCAUCAUUUACUUAUUACUACUUCCCAAUGCCUUCCCCCAGGCCCAAAUAAUAGUGAAGUGUCAUGUAGUCAACGUUCACAUAACACCACUAGAGGAGAGAGAACAUACAUCUCAUCAAAAUAAUGAACGAAUACCAAAUUCACAUGAUUACUUAUAACAAGACUUCUCCCAUGUCCUCAGGAACAAACGUAACUACUCACAAAGCAUAUUUAUAAUCAUAACCAGAGGAGUAUUAUUUAUCAUUAAGGAUCUGAAAUUAUAAUCUUCCACCGGAUAAACCAACUAGCAUCAACUACAAGGAGUAAUCAACACUACUAGCAACCCCCAGGUACCAAUAUGAGGUUUUGGGACCAAGAUCGAAUACAAGAGACGGGCUAGGGUUUGAGAGUAGAUGGUACUGGUGAAGAUGUUGAUGGAGAUUGACCCCCUCUCGAUGAGAGGAUCGUUGGUGAUGACGAUGGCGACGAUUUCCCCCUCCCGGAGGGAUGUUUCCCUGGCAGAACAGCUCCGUCGGAGCCCUAAAUUGGUUCUGCCCAGGUUCCGCCUCGAGACGGUGGCGCUUCGUCCCGAAAGCUUCCUUCUGAUUUUUUCCAGGUCAAAACACACCAUAUAGCCAAAGAUGGGCGCCGGGGGCCUGCCAGGGGGCCCACAAGGUCGGGGGGCGCGCCCAGGGGGGUAGGGCGCGCCCUCCACCCUUGUGGCUGGCUGGUGGCCCCCCUCUGGUUCUUUCUUCGCACAAUAUUCUUUAUAUAUUCCAAAAACAUGCUCCGUGAAGUUUCAGGACUUUUAGAGUUGCACAGAAUAGGUCUCUAAUAUUUGCUCAUUUUCCAGUCCAGAAUUCUAGCUGCCGGCAUUCUCCCUCUUCAUGUAAACCUUAUAAAAUAAGAGAGAAAAGGCAUAAGUAUUGUGAUAUAAUGUAUAAUUAACAACCCAUAAUGCAAUAAAUAUCAAUAUAAGUGCAUGAUGCAAAAUGGACGUAUCAGAGAGUGCCCUCAAAAUCCAAAGAAGAUAGCAAGAUGGAACAGCGGCAAGGAGAGGCCAUGGUCACCGCGCAACCCGGGGGGGGGGUGCGGACGAGGCUCCGCUUCCCCACCCCACCGCCGCCACCAGUGGCUCCUGCUCCGGCCAUGGACCGCGCAGCGACCACGUUGACCCAUCUCGCCGGGCAAGGGCAAGCCACAAGGUGGUGUUCUCCACCCCCGACCAUGGAGCACCAAGAGUUCCUGCUCCGCAAGCACGUCGUUCUCCUUACGGCGGCGGUGCCGAGGCACGCGGCCAACCCGAUGUCCAUCGGACGCGCCAUCGAAGAGUUCCUUGGAUCAACAAGACUGCGCUAGAAAAGAAGAAAACCUCCACAAACUAUCAUUGUGAAGAAAUAAGAAUAUUACCUACCUUGUAGGGGAAACAACACACCACACGAGCCUAACAAAGAUUCAAUUCGCAAAAACCCACUUUAACUCGCUCAUCGGUGGAAAAGUAUACACUACUAGCUGCUAGGACUUAUUUAAUGAAAGAGGUUGCAGCCAUCUCAACUCCCUCCCCUAGACACCAAAAUCUAGCGAUAUACACCAUCCAAACCAGAUCAAAACUCCCACACAUUGUCCAGGACGGCAUGAAGAAUGAGGUAGAACAUCGACCCGGCCGGCGGUAAUGAUGGAACCAAAACCCUAACCUUCACAUGAUUGCCUCACAACAACACUCUCAGCCUGUUCAAUUUGUUUCCAUGGUAUUUGUUGUUUUUCUACUAUAUACCUAAAGAAGGAAUGGCAUUCAUUUUCNNNNNNNNNNNNNNNNNNNNNNNNNNNNNNNNNNNNNNNNNNNNNNNNNNNNNNNNNNNNNNNNNNNNNNNNNNNNNNNNNNNNNNNNNNNNNNNNNNNNNNNNNNNNNNNNNNNNNNNNNNNNNNNNNNNNNNNNNNNNNNNNNNNNNNNNNNNNNNNNNNNNNNNNNNNNNNNNNNNNNNNNNNNNNNNNNNNNNNNNNNNNNNNNNNNNNNNNNNNNNNNNNNNNNNNNNNNNNNNNNNNNNNNNNNNNNNNNNNNNNNNNNNNNNNNNNNNNNNNNNNNNNNNNNNNNNNNNNNNNNNNNNNNNNNNNGUUUUGAUUCAUUUCCUCAUAUCUCUAAAAAAAUCAUCCUUUUUCUUUUGAAAAUCGUCUUAACCAUCCCACCUUUCAUUGGUGGCAGGUGGCUGCGGCGGCCUCAUACCCGGCAGGCGUCCUGGUUGAGGAGUGCGCCGGACUGGUAGGUGCCCCAUACCCGGCAGGCGUCCUGGUUGGGACCUCAGGUCUUAGAUGUUUAGGUUUGGCUGCGAUGUCUGUUUGGUAUUAGGCCCAGACUAUCUACGCCCCUUCAUCAAUUGGAUAGGUGUAGCAACAGUUGUUGCUUAGAUGGUGGCUUUAGUCUUGCUAUUGUUUGGCUUUGUAAGGUCUUGUGAGAAUAAUUAAUAAAGUGGCCGUAUGCAUCGCCCAGAUGCAGAGGCCGGGGGUCAUCCUCUUUUUCUAAAAAAAAAUCCCACCUUUCAUUGACUUAUCAAAUAAAAUUAUGUUCUAUGUGGUAAACCAAUAUGUUCUUACAAAACAAGCGAUUUUUACUUAGGUAGUUAAAUCACGGGCAUAAUUUUAUAAACAUUUAUUACAAGUAAUUAUCUAGUCUAACAAAAAUGGGAGCAACUAAUUAAGGCGUACUCUUGGAGGGCUCCCGUAAAGGUCACUUUCUUGGUCCUCGUGCUGAACGCACCAUCGGGAAUUCAAAUUUUUUUUCUACAUGUGUUUUCAGGUUUUAUGUGAGUUUACUGUGUGUGGGGGUUCACUUCUUUGUUUUUGCUUGGCUUUCCUGUAGUCUUGAACUGUGCUUCCCGAAAUCCAACGGUGAAAACAAUUUUUUGGGGAACCAGUUUUUCAUUUUUCAUUUUUUUUCUAGUUUACUUUUUUCGGUUCUCGUUUUUACCCGGGGAGGGGGGUGUUAUGAUUUUUUUCAUCGAAAACUAACGUGAGAUCUGGUUGAUCUCGACGCGAGAAAUCCAACGGUGAAAACGAUUUGUGAUUAUGAUUUUUUUAUCGAAAACUAUGAACGUGAGAUCUAGUUGAUCUCGACGCGAGAAAUUCAAUGAUGAAAACGGUUUGUGAUUUGGAUGCCUCGACAGAGAAGCAUGAUGAACAACCUUACUCAAACCAGCCCAUUAAGGCACCAAAUUUCACAACUUAGAAAUGAUGCUCGGCUUAUGUUGGGCCGUCUCAUGAGAGUUUUUGUUUUUUUCGUAGAUUCAUUUGUUUUUCAAAACGAUUUAUCUUGAAUCAUGUGUUCAAAUACCGAACCAUUUUCACUGUUGGAUUUCGCGUGUCGAGAUCUUUAAAACUAAAUCUCAUGUUAAUUAGUUUUGAUAAACUUUUUUUUCAUGAAAAAGCCUGAAGAAAAAACCCAGAGCUAGAAGCAUGAUUUUUUCCUACUUUUAUUCCCUUUGAGAGAAGCACAUAUCAGUGCCUCCACGAGAUGCAAAUCUGUGCUUCUCAUGGGAGCACAAAAAACAUGCAAAAACAUGAUUUUUUUUUCUUUCUAAAGUAGCGCGGAAGCAAAUCUGUACCUUUACGAGAAGCAAAUAUGUGUUUCUCGUGAAAGCCAUUUCCCCCGGAAAUAAAUCUGUGGCUCCACAAGAGGCAAAUAUGUGCUUCUCGUGAUAAUACCCUUUUCGAUAAGCAUAAUUGUGCUUCUCACGGAAGCAAAAUCUGUGCUUCUCGUCGAAGAAAAAAAAUACACAAAAAAAUUCAUGAUUUUUUCCCUUUCUGACAAGCACAACUGUGGUUCUUGCGGAAGCAAAUCUGUGUCUCCACGAAAAGCAAAUAUAUGCUUCUCAUGAAAGCACAUUUUUUCGCGCAAAAAUAAAUUUUCGUGUAUUUUUUUCUUCAAAAUCUAAGAUAAACCAGACGUAAAUCGAAAAACCAAAACAUCCAGAAUAAAGCCCAUAUAAAAUCUGAAAACGUGUACAGAAAAAUAAAACCAACGCCCAGCAAAAGAGGCCCUUGGCGCUCUCAGCCCACAAAAAUUACACGCAAUGGUACCUUUAGCCCCUUUUGCUCUCUUGAUUUUGCUCUUGGAAGGAUUCCUGCCUUUUCCACUUCGGCAGAUUCCGCCUUCAAAUCUCCGCACAUCUCACUUGCAAGGUCCACGAGAUUCUGCCCGCCUCCUCCAUCAGAUCCCUCUCCGCACCGGAUUCCUGCGUCUCCUCGUCCGGGCCUUCUUUCAGUUCCGUGGUUCCUCUUGCUUUCUGCGGUAACUUCUACUGCCGAAUCUUGCUUGACUGUACCAACCAGCUUGCUUGAAUCAUCAAUCAGUUCGCUAGUUAUAUGAUUGCUGGUGUUUCCUUGAAUAGCAAGUUAAAUUAGCGUACUAGUAGUAGAUAUGGUUCUCUAUUUAUUUUUUUCAUUUCUUCUUUUCCCCCUUCAGCCCGCCAGUACAACCAAGAAAUGUGAGCCGUGAAUCACUAAACUAGAGCCACUUUUAUUUUAAUUUAUGUAGUUAUGUACGUUUUAUAUUGUAUGAAAUUCAUUCUGAUGGGAUGAUCUACAUACUGCAAUAUAUUGAAGCACUGAACUGGUGUGUAUCAGUAUCAGUGUAUGACUGAACAGGACAAGGUACAUGAUUCAUGUUGUUGAUACUUGUUAGGCCUGAUGGGAAGCAGAGAUGACGAUGGCCAAAAUGCAGAAGGUCAGGGUUACGCCGCGGACAUCAAUUCCAUCAGGGAGGCGCAGGCACGCAUCGCGCCAUACGUGCACAAGACACCCAUCCUGUCAUCAACUUCUAUCAAUGCCAUAGCAGGGAAGCAGUUGUUCUUCAAGUGUGAAUGCUUCCAGAAGGCGUGAGAGUUACUGCCUCGUGUGCCAUUUACCUAUUCGAUGCUUUGCAGUACAUGGUGCUAAUUGUUGUGGACAUAUGUUGUAUUGUGUUGUGUAGAGGGGCGUUCAAGAUCCGAGGGGCAUCCAAUUCAAUAUUUGCCCUUGAUGACAUUCAGGCAGCAAAGGGCGUUGUGACGCAUAGCAGGUUGGUGCUAGCUUCAGUGUAUUGUGUGCUUGUUCCCAACAUUCAGAAGAAAAUUAAGAUACUGAUGAUAUGGUUUCUUCUCAGUGGAAAUCAUGCUGCUGCUGUGGCACUGGCUGCAAAGUUGCGUGGCAUACCUGCUUACAUUGUCAUACCCGAAAACGCGCCAGCAUGUAAGGUUGAGAAUGUUAACCGUUAUGGUGGUCAGGUUAUCUGGAGCGAUGUCACCAUGGAAUCAAGAGAAUCUACAGCUAAAAAGGUCCAGGAAGAGACUGGUGCUAUUCUUAUUCAUCCAUUCAAUGAUAAGUACACCAUCAGGUAGUCUUUUGCCAUCCAAAGCUUUUAUUGUUGAAUUGUUCUGUAUAAUGUGACAAAUAUCCCCAUUACCCCAGAAUUAGAAAUGCUUCCUAUAGAGUGCUGACAGUUUCCCUAAGCUAGAUGAUAAUUUUUUCAAAGGUACCAUAGACAUCGCUUCUAGUAACAAUUUGUAUUUCGGUACUCCUGAAGUAGCCUGGUGACUAGGCUACUGUUUAGAUGCGAAAAAAUAGCUGGAAUUUCAAAUUAAAAGUAUGUAGAAAUUUGAUCACUUGCUUACUCAGCAUUGAUGAACUGUUCUUCCAGUGAAAUGAUCACCAAGAGUAAAUGGAAUUACUUGAUACUAGCCCUGGCAACACCAUCUAAAAUUUAGGAUUUCAUGAAUUUAACUCGUUUUCCGACAACAGAACCUUCGGAAUGUUUUAUUGUUUUCUGUAGGACCAUUUUGGACUACAGGAAUACAACCCAUUAUUUCCACACAAAAAACUUGAUAUGUUUUAUGCACCAUAUAUAGUCAAAAUCUCCUAGUUUCUUCUGCACUCUGUGUUUGCUCUUAGUGCAUAGAGUAACUUGAGUUUUCAUUCCCUUUGAAUUUUCCCGUGAAAUAUAGGAAUUUAUUUGAAUGUUUUUCAGUGGUCAGGGUACAGUAUGCCUUGAACUUUUGGAGCAAGUCCCUGAGAUCGACACAAUAAUUGUUCCAAUUAGUGGUCUGCACUCUCUCAACUUCUCCCUAUCGUAAAUAGUUUUUUUUUCUGCGAGUAAGUCUUUUCUAAUUUGACACUGACAUAUAUUUUGGCUAAACUACAGGUGGUGGUUUAAUUUCGGGUGUGGCAUUGGCUGCAAAGGCCAUCAACCCUUCAAUACGUGUUCUGGCAGCAGAGCCGAAGGGUGCUGAUGAUUCAGCCCAGUCCAAGGCUGCUGGAAGGAUCAUCAAACUGCCUGCAACCAACACCAUUGCUGAUGGACUACGAGCGUUUCUCGGUGACUUGACAUGGUGAGGCAAAUAUACAUUGAUUAUGUUUCCAUCAUUUUCUGCACGUGCAUUACUAACCUGGAAUCAUACUAAAACGCUGACCUUUAGUUUUUGGAUUUUUCAUGAGAAUGUCAAUGCUAGCUAGAUAGUUUAUUUUGCCAAAAUUUAUCUUGAUGUGAACGCCCUGGAAUGAUCUGUGAUGUUAAUGCUACUUAUUCCGUUGUGAUAAAAAUGGUUGCUAGUGGACAGAAGAAUGCUACAUGUUUUUAAAUUUAAUCUUUAUGUUCUAGGCCGGUGGUGCGUGACUUGGUGGACGAUGUCAUCGUCGUGGAUGACAACGCCAUUGUCGACGCCAUGAAGAUGUGCUAUGAGACGCUGAAGGUGGCUGUGGAGCCUAGCGGAGCCAUUGGCCUUGCCGCUGCCCUCUCUGACGAGUUCAAGGAAAGCUCCGUUUGGCAUGAGAGCAGCAAGAUAGGGAUCAUUGUUUCCGGUGGCAAUGUGGACCUCCGCGUGCUCUGGGAAUCCCUGUGUAAAUGAGAUUGGGGCUGUGCAGAACUGUUUGAAUUUGAAAUGCACGAGGUGAAUGGCUGCAGACUUGAAAAGACACUGAUUUCUUACACGGAACAGUCUAUGUUUGCUGAUCUACUCGCUGCAAAACGUUUUGCCAUUGACUUCUUUUUUGGACCAUUUGCCAUUGACUUCCUACAGCGCCUUAGUCUGGAAGCGGCAUAUCUCCUGAUUUUAUAUAGACAAUAAUAACUGCUGCCUUUGUCUUUUUCGUUCCUAUUUCUCUUUCACCCACUGACAAGCAUGACCCACAUGUCAUAGGCGCGAGACAGAUUUUUUUUUUUGAUUUGUCAUUUUUUCUCUACGCUGAUAAGUGGGACCCACAUGCGACAUGUAGGCAAAUUAGACGGCUACACACGGGAAUAUGCGCUGCCUAAGCAGAGUUUGAUGGCGAAAAUUGUACCAUGUUGCACUUAAAAAAAGAGCAUCAACCGGGCGGCUCAAACCCUCCUUAAACGGCGGACGGACAAGACGGUCACUGACCGGUCAAAAAUAGCCGACUCAGACGAGCACCUCAAGCGCCCGAGCUCACCAACACCCCUCAUAUCCAGCCCAAAUCUGAGACGGAUAUGGGGAGGCCCGGACGCAACCGGGCGUGUCCGUCAUGUCGGAUCCGGCCCAUGCUGGCCCACCUAACACCCAAUAUAUUCGUCAUCAUCCGCUUGCCGAACUAAACCCUAGCCAGUCCACUCCACGCCACCCAGUCCCGAAGCUCCCGUCCGGCGAUCUCCGGCAUGACGGGCAGCGGAACUGACUUCGACAACCCCAGGCCCAUUGAUUGUGGUGUCAUCCAUGCGUGGUGGAGGAGGCUAUGGUCGUUCGUAUUGCCCUCCGCCGCUCCCGAAGGACUACGCCCGGCUCGAUGACGGGAUUUGUCCAGUAGGAGGGUUCUGCUCCGUUUUUAGCUAUGGUUUUUGAGGUCGACUAGGGUAUGUGUCCUUCUGAGGAAGGCGAUGUGGCGAUGGCUCCUUGAAGAUGAAAUAAGAUCCUUCCCGCCAAGCCCAUCCCAGCGGCGCGUCUACCAUCGUCGGAGGGCGCGUGGAGGUGUGUUUGUUGCGAAUCUCAUGGGAUUUGGUUGGUGUUGGUCGUUAAUGGAACUUGGUGGAUCCAGUCUUCGUUCGUAUGUCUACAGUUUGUAUCCUUUCAAUCUACACUUCUUUUCAUUGGCACGGUUGCUGUUUUGAUGCGUUGGUUCUAUGGGGCCUUAGUAGACGACUUCCCGACUGUGUACUACGACAAGUUUUGGUUGGCUCCGGUGAGAGAGGGGCAAUUAUGAUGGCGCAUCUUCAACUCGGUCCAGUGUUUAUAGUUGUUGAUAGAUGGUCUAUGAACUUGGAUGCAUUUUUUUCAUGUUCCUUGUACUGCCGUGACAGUUAUAAUACUUCCGUUCACAAAUAUAAGAUGUUCUAACUCUUUUUGUAUCGGAUGUAUACAUACGCGUUUUAGUGGGUUUGUUCACUCAUUUCAGUCCAUAUAUAGUUCAUAUUGUUGUUUCUCUUUUCAGUGGCUGGAAACAGUAAUUGCACAAAAAAAAAGGAAACAGUAAUUCUGGUCCAGCGGUGCAUCAGAAAUUCAGAUUUCAGAACCCAUCUCCGCGUGAACACGAAUCUUGAAGCACUCGGAACAAACCCCUUGCCACCCGAGGCAGUCGUCCGUUCUCCGUCCCACGUCCCUCUUCCUCCUUCCCCCCGCCGCCGCCGCCGCCGCAAAGAGAAGCGCGAGAGAGUGGGGCGGCCGUAGCAAGCGAUGCCGAACAAGCGUCAGCGGGAGGCGCGGAAGCGCUUCCGCGAGGCGAACCCCGGCCUCUGUCCGCCCGCGCCCGCCCCUCCGGCCGACGGCACCAAGAAGAAGAAGAGCAAGAAGAGCUUGUUCAAGAAGGUGAAGAAGGCGGGAGCCGGCGGCGGAGUAGGAGGAGCGGGGAGGUCGAAGCACCCGCUGCGGGUUCCCGGGAUGCGGCCCGGGGAGCAGUGCUUCAUCUGCAAGGGCACCGACCACGCGGCCAAGAACUGCCCCGAGAAGUCCUAUUGGGACAAGAACAAGGUACCAGCCCACCAUUGCACGGCUAAAAUUGCUCUGCGUAGAAGCUUGUGGUGAUAAUGUUGUUCGGCAUGCUGUCAAUUGCUACUUGCUGUAGAUUCCAUGGACCCAAUAGCAUUGGAUGAUGUAGCUCCUGUGGAAUGGGUUUAUAGCAGAUUAGUGCUAGUUGGUGGUUGUAGUGGAAAUACAGCGACAAAAGUGAUGUUGAUUUUCCUUUAGCCUGCCUUUGCUUGGUGAGAUUGUCACUAGGCGGGCUAGGAAUGCGCUUGUUUUGUGUUAGCUAGUAUUUAUGACUACCAUAGAAACUCACAAGUCACAACAUACAACAUCACAACACUUAACCUGAGAACAAACGUUCAUCACUGAUUAUAUGAAGAGCUAGCAGUUACUUGCAGUCAUAUGAAUGCUUGUUAUUACAGAAAAAUGUUUGAUAUUGCUAAAUUAUGUUUCAUCAUGAACUCAUGAUCCAUUACAAUAGUUGGUUUAAUGUCUGAUUUCACCAUAUGCAAGGUUUCCAUUUCACUAUCUCUUAACAAUUGUAUUAUUUUUCUGUUAUUUUCAGAUUUGCUUGCUCUGCAGGGAGCGAGGGCAUAGUAUGAAGAACUGCCCUGACAAAGGUGAUGGGGAUCUGAAGAAAUUCUGCUAUAACUGUGGUGAAUCUGGGCAUUCCCUUUCCAAGUGCCCGAAGCCCAUUGAAAAUGGUACUCUUCAUCCAUUCAUGUUAUGCUUAGAUUCCUAUAGAUGUGAUUUCUUCAUGUGCUUAACAUUAUUCGAUACGUAUGCAGGCGGCACAAACUUUGCGAGCUGCUUUGUCUGCAAACAGCAGGGACAUUUGAGCAAGGAUUGCCCUGAAAAUACACACGGCAUUUAUCCCAAGGUAUUCCACAGGAUUCCUUGUUCCCUCUCAUGAAUCACGACACAACUACUACUACCGAUAUAAGGCAUUGAAAUCGAAGGACUAUUUUCAUUUUUUAUUUAGACUUUCUUGCAGACAAACAUGUCAUGCUGGCAAAAAAUGAUUUUGGCUUGCCGUAGUUACCUACUUACUAGUUAUGAUGUUUGAAUUGCUUGUGUCUUGAGGAACCCAAAGAAUAUCCACUGUUUUUUUUCCUUUGGGAUAGUGAGGCAUCGUGCAAACAAAUGGAUAUAUGAUCUUUGAGUGGUAUAACCACCACUUGAUAAACUAUAAGUAUCUGUUUCAAGGGGUUUUACGUUUUUUCUGUAUGAGUCCUGAGGUACAGAACCAGUUUGCUGGUGGAGCCAGCCUUGUUUAUAGCUUUGACUUUCUGUUGUUACUUUUGUUGUUGUUAACACUCCUCUACCUUGAUUACGUUUAGUUGAUUCAAUCUCUGCUUUUUUGUACAUGGAUUUUAACUCUAUGUAUUAAUGUUAGGGUGGUUGCUGUAAGAUAUGUGGUGAAGUUACACACUUGGCAAGGCAUUGCCCGAACAAACGGCAACAGUACUUCGAAUCCUCGGUGGAUGAUGGUAAACAAAUUGGAACUUCUUCCUUGACAAACCAACCUUUGCAAUAUCACAACUACCAUGCAUGCAUUCGCAACAUUUUGAACGUCCGCUGGAAUGCGAAGUGUGUUGCAGUUGGUCUAUAUAUAUUUGAAUUACCUGUUGCCAUCAUUUAAAGUUUCACACCAAAAAAAAACAUCUGGACAAUAAUUCUUGUAUAUAAGCAUGCUGGCUAAACUUAUGAUUUCAGGUUAUACAACUAUUUUGUUUCUGAAGAUUUGUUUGUGUUGUUGUAUAACAUAGUUGGCUGUGCCAACAAUAGAGAUAUAUCUGUAGGCCGCGGUGUUGUAUUGUGGUGCAGAGGCUUUGGAUAGGUGAACAUGUUCCCUUUUCAGUCCUUAGUAAGGGUUGAGUAAUGACUAACUGUACGGGCGCGGUACCUUACUCUUGACAAAAUCUAAUGUAUUUAUAUAUGUUGAGAACUUGAGAUUGUUAGUUAGCUGGUGCAACUGAAUUUCUGCUGGUAGUUGUGCAGUUCAUCACAGGAAUUCGUGUUUACUUGUUU
rnacentral:lncRNA from 1 species